UACGUAGGGUGCGAGCGUUAAUCGGAAUUACUGGGCGUAAAGCGUGCGCAGGCGGUUUUGGCAAGCCGGAUGUGAAAUCCCCGGGCUCAACCUGGGAAUGGCAUUCGGGACUGCAAGGCUGGAGUGCGGCAGAGGAGACUGGAAUUCCUGGUGUAGCAGUGAAAUGCGUAGAUAUCGUCUGGAACGCCGAAGGUGAAAACAGCUACGCUGGGGCUGCGCUGACGCUGAGACACGAAAGCCAGGGGAGCGAACGGG
rnacentral:rRNA from 1 species